UACGUAGGGGGCGAGCGUUGUCCGGAUUUAUUGGGCGUAAAGAGCUCGUAGGCGGUUUGGUAAGUUGGAUGUGAAAUCUCCAGGCUCAACUUGGAGGGGUCAUUCGAUACUGCCAUGACUAGAGUUCGGUAGGGGAGUGUGGAAUUCCUGGUGGAGCGGUGAAAUGCGCAGAUAUCAGGAGGAACACCCGUAGCGAAGGCGGCACUCUGGGCCGGAACUGACG
rnacentral:rRNA from 1 species